GAGGAAUAUUGGUCAAUGGGCGAGAGCCUGAACCAGCCAAGUCGCGUGAAGGAAGACUGCCUUAUGGGUUGUAAACUUCUUUUAUACAGGAAUAAAAAGGCUUACGUGUAGGCCAUUGCAAGUACUGUAUGAAUAAGCAUCGGCUAACUCCGUGCCAGCAGCCGCGGUAAUACGGAGGAUGCGAGCGUUAUCCGGAUUUAUUGGGUUUAAAGGGUGCGCAGGCGGGCUUUUAAGUCAGCGGUGAAAUCUGGACGCUUAACGUCCAAACUGCCGUUGAAACUGCGAGUCUUGAGUAUGGAUGAAGUAGGCGGAAUUCGUUGUGUAGCGGUGACAUGCAUAGAUAUAACGAGGAACUCCGAUUGCGAAGGCAAUCCCCUGGGCCUGCACUGACGCUCAUGCACGAAAGCGUGGGGAGCAAACA
rnacentral:rRNA from 1 species